rnacentral:misc_RNA from 1 species
GUCAGCUAACAUACUCUUGGACCAAUCAAUGAGAGCUAAGGUUGCUGAUUUUGGACUCUCAAAGGAAGAGGCCUAUGAUGGACGCAACUCUGGUCUGAAAGGUACAUAUGGCUACAUAGAUCCGGUGUAUGUAACUACAAACAAAUUCACCAUGAAGAGUGACAUCUACAGUUUUGGCAUUAUCAUCUUUGAACUCAUUACAGCCAUCCACCCACAUCAAAACCUAAUGGAAUAUAUUAAUCUUGCUGCUAUGAGCCGGGACGGUGUCGAUGAAAUACUAGAUGAAAAACUGACUGGAAAGUGCUAUAUUGAAGAAGUGAGGGAACUAGCUGCCGUUGCUCACAAGUGCUUGCAAAAAUCGCAAAGGAAGCGACCUUCAAUAGGAGAAGUUUCACUGGCUAUAUCGAAGAUAAAACAAAGGCAACUUGUUAGGGAAGACACCAUCUCUUUUGCCAGUCGAGAUUUUUCCGGAGAUGUAAGCAGAAUCAAGGAUCAGCAUGUGGAGUUGAGCAAGAUGAUCAGCAUUAAAGAGAGCAAUUAAAUGUCCAGAGAUUUUCUCUGCUUUCAGCCUUUUUUUUUUUUUUUGAAUUUUUCUUACA